UAUACCUACGGGGGGCAGCAGUGAGGAAUAUUGGUCAAUGGGAGAGAUCCUGAACCAGCCAAGCCGCGUGAGGGAAGACGGCCAUAUGGGUUGUAAACUUCUUUUAUAAAGGAAUAAAACGAGGCACGUGUGCCUUUUUGCAUGUACUUUAUGAAUAAGGAUCGGCUAACUCCGUGCCAGCAGCCGCGGUAAUACGGAGGAUCCGAGCGUUAUCCGGAUUUAUUGGGUUUAAAGGGAGCGUAGAUGGGUUGUUAAGUCAGUUGUGAAAGUUUGCGGCUCAACCGUAAAAUUGCAAUUGAUACUGG
rnacentral:rRNA from 1 species